rnacentral:misc_RNA from 1 species
AACGCAUAUUGCGCUCUUUGGUAUUCCGAAGAGCAUGCUUGUUUGAGUAUCAGUAAACACCUCAAAGCCCUUUUUCUUUUUGAAAAAGGCUUUGGACUUGAGCAAUCCCAACGCUAAUCUUUUUAAAAGAGCAGAGGCGGGUUGCUUGAAAUGCAGGUGCAGCUGGACUUUCUCCUGAGCUAAAAGCAUAUUCAUUUAGUCCCGUCAAACGGAUUAUUACUUUUGCUGCAGCUAAUAUAAAGGGAGUUUGACCAUUUUGGCUGACUGAUGCAGGAUUUUCACAAGAGUCUUAAAAAACCCUUGUUAAACUCGAUCUCAAAUCAAGUAAGACUACCCGCUGAACUUAA